rnacentral:rRNA from 1 species
GACGAACGCUGGCGGCGUGCCUAACACAUGCAAGUGGAGCGACGAACCAGGGCUUGCCCUGGGGCCAAGCCGCGAACGGGUGAGUAACACGUGGGUAACCUGCCCCGAUGACCGGGACAACCCGAGGAAACUCGGGCUAAUACCGGAUGUGGUGGACACACUUAAGUGUGUCCACUAAAGGAAGCUUCGGCCUCCGCAUUGGGAUGGGCCCGCGGCCCAUUAGCUAGUUGGUGGGGUAAAGGCCUACCAAGGCAACGAUGGGUAGCUGGUCUGAGAGGACGAUCAGCCACACUGGGACUGAGACACGGCCCAGACUCCUACGGGAGGCAGCAGUGGGGAAUCUUGCGCAAUGCGCGAAAGCGUGACGCAGCAACGCCGCGUGAGGGAAGACGGCCUCGG